rfam:Exiguobacterium sibiricum 255-15, complete genome.
UUCUUAUCAAGAGCAGACGGAGGGACGAGCCCUACGAUGUCGCAGCAACCGACCACUUGGCACGGUGCUAAUUCUUGCAGCUAUUACGCUGACAGAUAAGAG